GACGAACCGUGCGAACGUUAUUCGGAAUCACUGGGCUUAAAGCGCGUGUAGGCGGGCCGCCACGUCGGGCGCUGAAAUCCCCCGGCUCAACCGGGGAACGGGCACCGAUACGAGCGGCCUGGAGGGGAGUAGGGGGACCUGGAACUUCCGGUGGAGCGGUGAAAUGCGUAGAUAUCGGAAGGAACACCGGUGGCGAAAGCGGCGCGCUGGACCUCUUCUGACGCUGAGGCGCGAAAGCCAGGGGAGCGAACGGG
rnacentral:rRNA from 1 species